rnacentral:snRNA from 1 species
AACGCUUCUCGGCCUUUCGGCUAAGAUCAAAGUAUAGUAUCUGUUCUUAUCAGCUUAAUCUCUGGUACGGUCUCCAUAGGGAACCCAGAAGAUUAAACUGAUUUUCUGGAAAAUGACAGAGUGUUAGGGGCUUUGCUCCACCUCUGUCGCGAGUUGACCCUCGGGUAUUGCAUGGGCGCCACGGUAGCCGAGCGGUU